CGUCGCGCAACACGAAACCGCGGCGAAUUGGAGUCUAGAAAAGGUGAAUGGGAGGGUGAAUCAUCGCGUAGGGGAGUGUUCGUGAGCGGCUGGCGGUCAUGUGUCGAUGUGGCCAUCUCGCUCUGACGCUCGCCAGUGUUUACGGCUGGCUCUCUUGCUCCAAUGCAGUGCAUGGUCGUCAGCGGAUGCGGAUGUGUGUGUGGAAGAUUGGGUUUCCACACGACGUGAAACGAGUCUCAAUCGUAGAAAAGCUGCCAAACCUGUUUUGUCACUUGAUGGGACUCAGAAUCGAAUGUUGCUUGCGAUUGGGAGUUGUUGCUCCGCGAUAUCGGGCGGGUGUUGCCGACCCUGGGGUGAAACUAAUUCGCAGGCUCUUGGUUUCUUCUAUUCUUUUUAUUAACAGUUGGAUUAACGGCCAGUGGAGACGAAAUUAAAUCCGCGACCGAACCAAGAAAACGUCGACUUAAUGUUAGUGUUGAGAUAGAUGCAUAUCCAGAUUUAUGAUAAUAUACAGAAGGCAAAAUUGGCGCGAUCUGUGUUGUAAUCGAGCUCGAAGCUACCGUACCAGAAUAUACUAAGUCUCUGACGCCUUCGUAUUCAUUCCACCGAUGCAGAUAAGCGGAGUUGAAUGAUUCCAUUUAACUAAAGUCUAUAACUCGAUAAGAGAGCAAGCAGAUGUCGUUGGACGUUAAACUCUCCACUAAAUUACUCAGGAACGAAGCUCAUUGCCCCUGAGUGUGUGCGAAGCAAUAGGUGAGGCAAAUUGUAAUUUCCCAAGUUCUAUUAACAAUUUCCCAAAUGAUCCAUAAUUUUAUUCCUGAGAUACAACUCUUAUCUUACUUUUCACACUAACACGGAAUAUCAAAUUGCAUAAACCGUGAUAUUGCGUAUAUCCCAAAAGGAAUAAAUAAAACAAUCCUCAACACUUAGAUCAGAUCAGGUGAAUGUAAGGAUCUGGUACUGCGACCAGCUAACUCAUAAGAUCAAAUUAGAUCCAGUAAAUCAAUGGAUCAUAUUCAGAAUUAAUAGAUCAGAUCCUUAUUUAGCUAACAGCUAAGGAAUUUAUCGUGCGAAAGAUUAUAUAAGCGACUAUAGUUAUAAGCCAAGUCAUGAAUAAAAUGAAGUAAUUAAUAGUUGUAAAGC